rnacentral:rRNA from 1 species
UACAGAGGCUGCAAGCGUUAUUCGGAUUCACUGGGCGUAAAGGGUGCGCAGGCGGUUGGGUGUGUCAGAUGUGAAAUCCCGAGGCUCAACCUCGGAACUGCGUCUGAAACUACUCGACUAGAGUACUGGAGAGGGUAACGGAAUUCACGGUGUAGCAGUGAAAUGCGUAGAUAUCGUGAGGAACACCAGAGGCGAAGGCGGUUACCUGGACAGUUACUGACGCUCAGGCACGAAAGCAUGGGGGAGCAAAAGGG